CCGGAGAUGAUCCCUCUGCGGUAAUGAUCGCACUGUAACACAAGCAAGAAAAGACUGGCAUUUACAACAAAAGUGUCUUUUCUGUGCUGACUGUAAAGUGGCAAGCACUGGCACUCAUGGGACGUCUUGUCAUGCAUUAUGGAAGAUGCCGUGACUUACGAUAAGCAUGGUGCAGACGUGUCCUCUGCAGAGCUCUGAAUAGGAGGAAUACUGCAUGUAAAUCACCCAGCUGGCCACCAGAAUCCCAAACCACGCCACCAACAGGAAGGCUCUCAAAGCAUGUGCACAUGAUAGCAAAGCAACCUCCGGUGGACAGUAGCAGACUGCAAAAUGAGACGAAG